AGAGUUAGUGACCUACUUUUCAUUUUUAUUUGGUGAAUUUUCAAGUGGCAACUUUUCGUAGUCUAGAAAUUUCGCGGUCUCCAAAAAGUUGCAAGCGCGCUCCAAUUCCCAAAUUGUGAAUAAAAGCUAGAUAUUGUGAUACCCAUCGUGUUUGACUCGGACUCUGACUCAAAUCUUCUCCUCUGCUCCUAUUGCCUUCUUCACCGCUCCUAUUGGUUAGCUGGAGACAACGAAGAAGGAUCAACAAAUAAACGAUUGGCUUUUCGUAUUUCUGGGUCUGUGAGAUGCAUCAUUGACCCAAUGUCUGUGUUUUCAGAGUCGUCAAAAGUGAACCAUAUAUAUUGAUGAAGAUCAUCACUACAUAAUGCAACAAGAUCUUCCCUUUGGAUAUUUGUGUUUUAGAAAACUGAUCCUUUGUUUCCUUGUCCUUAAACGUUAAAUAUACAACCAAAGGUCGCAAAGAAAAAUCUCACAUUUAUUCCUCUAGCACCACCCUGUGUGGAGUUGGGGUUGAGAAAAAUUACACCAAGGCUCUAGAGUGGCUUACAUUAGCAAGUUUGUGGCCCCAUUGAGAGCCUUGACUAUGAGUAAGCACUAUACAUUUCAAGUUUUGUUUCGAUAACAACCCUUUGUUAUUUGGAACAAUUUCAUUGAUUUGUUACAUGAUCUUUGUUCCUCUCGAUUGAGUUGUCUUCGAUCUAAGCUUGCUCCCAAGUCAAGAUUUGAUUUGAAUAGUUGACAUAACAGUGCAUUUUGUGGUUGGAUCUUAGUAAUCCCAUUUGUUGCUCAUUUUGGCAUAAUUUCGUCUUUCAUGACUUUAACAUGUGCUUAAACAAUAUAUAAGUUAUGUGUUCUUGAUAUGAGUACCUUUAAUUUUGGAGUGAUAUUUGAUGCAUAUCCCUUUGGGCACUUCAUAUGCCAUAAUUUCAUCAAUUGUUUCAUAUAUAGUUGGCAGGUUUGUGUAAAUGUCCAUUUCAUAUUUCUUUCAAUUUGUAAUUUAUAGAUGAAUAAUUGCUUUGUAUCUCAGUCAAUAAAAUCUUUAUU